GGACGAACGCUGGCGGCGUGCUUAACACAUGCAAGUCGAGCGGUAAGGCCCUCUCGGGGGGUACACGAGCGGCGAACGGGUGAGUAACACGUGGGUGACCUGCCCUUAGCUCUGGGAUAAGCCUGGGAAACUGGGUCUAAUACCGGAUAUGACUCCAUGACGCAUGUUGUGGGGUGGAAAGCCUUGUGCGGCUAGGGAUGGGCCCGCGGCCUAUCAGCUUGUUGGUGGGGUGAUGGGCCACCAAGGCGACGACGGGUAGCCGGCCUGAGAGGGCGACCGGCCACACUGGGGACUGAGACACGGCCCAGACUCCUACGGGAGGCAGCAGUGGGGAAUCUUGCGCAAUGGGCGAAAGCCUGACGCAGCGACGCCGCGUGAGGGAUGACGGCCU
rnacentral:rRNA from 1 species